AUACGUAGGGGGCGAGCGUUGUCCGGAAUGAUUGGGCGUAAAGGGCGCGUAGGCGGCCCGGUAAGUCUGGAGUGAAAGUCCUGUUUUUAAGAUGGGAAUUGCUUUGGAUACUGUCGGGCUUGAGUGCAGGAGAGGUAAGUGGAAUUCCCAGUGUAGCGGUGAAAUGCGUAGAGAUUGGGAGGAACACCAGUGGCGAAGACGACUUACUGGACUGUAACUGACGCUGAGGCGCGAAAGUGUGGGGAGCAAACAGGAUUAGAUACCCUGGUAGUCCACACUGUAAACGAUGAAUGCUAGGUGUAGGGGGUAUCGACCCCUUCUGUGCCGCAGUCAACACAAUAAGCAUUCCGCCUGGGGAGUACGGCCGCAAGGUUGAAACUGAAAGGAAUUGGCGGGG
rnacentral:rRNA from 1 species